AUUGUUACCUAACAGCUUCUGCAGCAGGCCGUACCUCUGCAUCCACCACCUUUGUGCCAAGGCCACAGUCUUCCCAGGCAGCCCCCAGCCAAUGAGCGUGGUGGGCGCACUAGCCAAGGGCCUGAUAUAGGCCAGUUCUGAUGGGCAGCAUGCACUCUCCUCAACCUGACCAAGGCUUUUGCAGGGCCGCGUUGUGGUCUGUGGCUCCUCCUAUUCAAUCCACCCUCCUUUCCUCUCUCCUUUUCCAGCUGUCAGACCUACAUUACUAUCGGAAGGCUCUCCUACUCCUGCCACCUGGUCCUUUACCAUUUGUGUCCCCAGACAUUGCCAAAUGUCCACUGAGAGACCACAUCCCCUGGAUGAGGACCAUGAGUAUAAGCCCCAGAGGAAGAGAAAUUAAAGAAGCUCACACAUCAGCAGAGAAGUACAAGCUCCUCUAGGAAUGGAGACUCACAAGAGCAUCUGGCUUACACUGGAUCCCUCAAGUUCUUGGAAUGUUUCUUUCUGUGUUUAUUUCUGAAGGGUUCGUAAGUAGUGUGUAAAGUCAAGUAUUAGAAUAUUAAUGCUACUUAUUCUAUUUUUACUCACACAUAAUUU
rnacentral:lncRNA from 1 species